CUCGUUUCCUUUCUUUCCUACAUUCUUUUUUUUUUUUUUCUUUUUACUUUCUCUUAUUUCCAUCUUUCUCUCUUCUUUCUUUAGCCAUUCGGCCUCCACUGAUCAUAAGCCUCUAAAGUGAUGCUCCUUGUCCUCCACUCAUGUUUUCCGGUUUAGAUUUCCUCAAACCCAAACCAAAAUCUUCAAAAAAAUUGAAUAAAAAGAAACUUGAUCCGUCGUCAGAUCGGUCUCAUUUUCUAGUAUGAUGCUCUUCACCAUCCAAGGAAGAUUUUCCUCAAUGGGAUCGUCAAUUGGUCAUCUCAAACCAAUCCAAAACGGUUGUGUUCUCUCCUUUUCUUCUUUUGCAAAAUCUUUGGUUAGUCUCGAUUAGGGCUAACUCAUGUUUGGGGUUGUGUUUUAUGGCUCGAGGAUGGGGUGGGUUUUGGUAUGCAAGAGAAAUGGAGAAGUUCAAGAUGAGGAUUUGAAGAAGUAGCCAUGAGUUUUUCAAGUUGAUCUUCAUAUAUUCUUGUAUUUUCUGUUCAUCACUAAUUUAUAUCAUAUUGGUUAUUAUGUAAAAAAAAAAAAAAGAUUGGUUAUUCAUUUUUUCUAUUUUUCUUGUGAUUUAAGAUUUUAAUUGCAAUAAUCAAUGGAAAAGAUAACUUUUUUAGUUUGUAUAA